rnacentral:rRNA from 1 species
CGGCACGCCUAAUACAUGCAAGUCGAACGAAGUAGCAAUACUUAGUGGCAGACGGGUGAGUAACAUGUGGGUAUCUUCCCUUUGGUGAGGAAUAACACGAGGAAACUUGUGCUAAUACCUCAUAAGUCUUUACGGAGAAAGCUUUAUGCGCCAUUGGAUGAGCCCGCACUUGAUUAGUUUGUUGGUGGGGUAAUGGCUCACCAAGACAAUGAUCAAUAGCUGAUUUGAGAGGAUGAUCAGCCACAUUGGGACUGAGACACGGCCCAAACUCCUACGGGAGGCAGCAGUAGGGAAUCUUGCACAAUGGAGGAAACUCUGAUGCAGCGAUGCCGCGUGAGUGAAGAAGGCCCUUGGGUUGUAAAGCUCUUUCGUCGGGGAAGAAAAUGACUGUACCCGAAUAAGAAGGUCCG